ACUCACUUAGCUCGGUGGUAGAGUGCAUCACUUGUAUCAUAGCGAUGAUAAGGUCAGUUGUUCAAUCCAGCUAGUGGGCA